UACGUAGGGUGCGAGCGUUGUCCGGAAUUACUGGGCGUAAAGAGCUCGUAGGUGGUUUGUCGCGUUGUUCGUGAAAACUCACAACUCAAUUGUGGGCGUGCGGGCGAUACGGGCAGACUGGAGUACUGCAGGGGAGACUGGAAUUCCUGGUGUAGCGGUGGAAUGCGCAGAUAUCAGGAGGAACACCGGUGGCGAAGGCGGUUCUCUGGGCAUGUUCUGACGCUGAGGAGCGAAAGUGUGGGGAGCGAACAGG
rnacentral:rRNA from 1 species